rnacentral:rRNA from 1 species
GCAGGAAAGCAGGGGACCGCAAGGCCUUGCGCUCUUUGAGCGGCCGAUGUCAGAUUAGCUAGUUGGUGAGGUAACGGCUUACCAAGGCGACGAUCUGUAGCGGGUCUGAGAGGAUGAUCCGCCACACUGGAACUGAGACACGGUCCAGACUCCUACGGGAGGCAGCAGUGGGGAAUUUUGGACAAUGGGGGCAACCCUGAUCCAGCCAUGCCGCGUGAGUGAAGAAGGCCUUCGGGUUGUAAAGCUCUUUCGGCCGGGAAGAAAUCGCAUGGGCCAAUACCCUGUGUGGAUGACGGUACCGGAAUAAGAAGCACCGGCUAACUACGUGCCAGCAGCCGCGGUAAUACGUAGGGUGCGAGCGUUAAUCGGAAUUACUGGGCGUAAAGCGUGCGCAGGCGGUUUUGUAAGACAGGCGUGAAAUCCCCGGGCUCAACCUGGGAACUGCGUUUGUGACUGCAAGGCUAGAGUACGGCAGAGGGGGGUGGAAUUCCACGUGUAGCAGUGAAAUGCGUAGAGAUGUGGAGGAACACCAAUGGCGAAGGCAGCCCCCUGGGUCGAUACUGACGCUCAUGCACGAAAGCGUGGGUAGCAAACAGGAUUAGAUACCCUGGUAGUCCACGCCCUAAACUAUGUCAACUAGGUGUUGGGUGGGUAAAACCAUUUAGUACCGUAGCUAACGCGUGAAGUUGACCGCCUGGGGAGUACGGCCGCAAGGUUAAAACUCAAAGGAAUUGACGGGGACCCGCACAAGCGGUGGAUGAUGUGGAUUAAUUCGAUGCAACGCGAAAAACCUUACCUACCCUUGACAUGCCAGGAACUUGCCAGAGAUGGCUUGGUGCCCGAAAGGGAGCCUGGACACAGGUGCUGCAUGGCUGUCGUCAGCUCGUGUCGUGAGAUGUUGGGUUAAGUCCCGCAACGAGCGCAACCCUUGUCGUUAAUUGCCAUCAUUUAGUUGGGCACUUUAGCGAGACUGCCGGUGACAAACCGGAGGAAGGUGGGGGUGACGUCAAGUCCUCAUGGCCCUUAUGGGUAGGGCUUCACACGUCAUACAAUGGUCGGUACAAAGGGUCGCCAAGCCGCGAGGUGGAGCCAAUCCCAGAAAGCCGAUCGUAGUCCGGAUUGCAGGCUGCAACUCGCCUGCAUGAAGUCGGAAUCGCUAGUAAUCGUGGAUCAGCAUGUCACGGUGAAUACGUUCCCGGGUCUUGUACACACCGCCCGUCACACCAUGGGAGCGGGUUCCGCCAGAAGUAGGUAGCCUAACCGCAAGGAGGGCGCUUACCACGGCGG